rnacentral:rRNA from 1 species
GUCGAGCGGUAACAGAUCUAGCUUGCUAGAUGCUGACGAGCGGCGGACGGGUGAGUAAUGCAUAGGAAUCUGCCCGGUAGUGGGGGAUAACCUGGGGAAACCCAGGCUAAUACCGCAUACGUCCUACGGGAGAAAGGGGGCUUCGGCUCCCGCUAUUGGAUGAGCCUAUGUCGGAUUAGCUAGUUGGUGAGGUAAUGGCUCACCAAGGCAACGAUCCGUAGCUGGUCUGAGAGGAUGAUCAGCCACAUCGGGACUGAGACACGGCCCGAACUCCUACGGGAGGCAGCAGUGGGGAAUAUUGGACAAUGGGCGCAAGCCUGAUCCAGCCAUGCCGCGUGUGUGAAGAAGGCCUUCGGGUUGUAAAGCACUUUCAGCGAGGAAGAACGCCUAGGGGUUAAUACCCACUAGGAAAGACAUCACUCGCAGAAGAAGCACCGGCUAACUCCGUGCCAGCAGCCGCGGUAAUACGGAGGGUGCGAGCGUUAAUCGGAAUUACUGGGCGUAAAGCGCGCGUAGGUGGCUUGAUAAGCCGGUUGUGAAAGCCCCGGGCUCAACCUGGGAACGGCAUCCGGAACUGUCAAGCUAGAGUGCAGGAGAGGAAGGUAGAAUUCCCGGUGUAGC